GGCGAACGCUGGCGGCGUGCCUAAUACAUGCAAGUUGAGCGCUGAAGGUUGGUACUUGUACCAACUGGAUGAGCAGCGAACGGGUGAGUAACGCGUGGGGAAUCUGCCUUUGAGCGGGGGACAACAUUUGGAAACGAAUGCUAAUACCGCAUAAAAACUUUAAACACAAGUUUUAAGUUUGAAAGAUGCAAUUACAUCACUCAAAGAUGAUCCCGCGUUGUAUUAGCUAGUUGGUGAGGUAAAGGCUCACCAAGGCGAUGAUACAUAGCCGACCUGAGAGGGUGAUCGGCCACAUUGGGACUGAGACACGGCCCAAACUCCUACGGGAGGCAGCAGUAGGGAAUCUUCGGCAAUGGACGAAAGUCUGACCGAGCAACGCCGCGUGAGUGAAGAAGGGUUUCGGAUCGUAAAACUCUGUUGGUAGAGAAGAACGUUGGUGAGAGUGGAAAGCUCAUCAAGUGACGGUAACUACCCAGAAAGGGACGGCUAACUACGUG
rnacentral:rRNA from 1 species